AACGAACGCUGGCGGCAUGCCUAACACAUGCAAGUCGAACGAGACCUUCGGGUCUAUUUGCGCACGGGUGCGUAACGCGUGGGAACCUGCCCUUAGGUUCGGAAUAACUCCCCGAAAGGGGUGCUAAUACCGGAUAAUGUCUUCCGACCAAAGAUUUAUCGCCUUUGGAUGGGCCCGCGUUGGAUUAGCUAGUUGGUAGGGUAAAAGCCUACCAAGGCGACGAUCCAUAGCUGGUCUGAGAGGAUGAUAAGCCACACUGGGACUGAGACACGGCCCAGACUCGUACGGAAGGGAGCAGUGGGGAAUAUUGGACAAUGGGCGAAAGCCUGAUCCAGCAAUGCCGCGUGAGUGAUGAAGGCCUUAGGGUUGUAAAGCUCUUUUACCCGGGAUGAUAAUGACAGUACCGGGAGAAUAAGCACCGGCUAACUACGUG
rnacentral:rRNA from 1 species